rnacentral:rRNA from 1 species
AAUACCGCAUACGUCCUACGGGAGAAAGCAGGGGAUCUUCGGACCUUGCGCUAAUAGAUGAGCCUAAGUCGGAUUAGCUAGUUGGUGGGGUAAAGGCCUACCAAGGCGACGAUCUGUAGCGGGUCUGAGAGGAUGAUCCGCCACACUGGGACUGAGACACGGCCCAGACUCCUACGGGAGGCAGCAGUGGGGAAUAUUGGACAAUGGGGGGAACCCUGAUCCAGCCAUGCCGCGUGUGUGAAGAAGGCCUUAUGGUUGUAAAGCACU